rnacentral:lncRNA from 1 species
ACACAGGUUGGAUCACGCCACGCCCAAUGUCUGCAGGAAAGGAUCCACAUUCUUGAGCACGGCCUUCAGGGCCCCACCCAAUCUGACCUGAGUCUACCUUCCCAAAUGCCCAUCACAAUUUCCCUGCCUCCAGUCCUUCCCCAUCCCUAAGACUCAACACUUCUCUGCUUCCUGAAACACUUGAUUUUCCAGGAAUGGAGGCCUCCUGCUUGAAAGAGUAUUAUCCUCUUUAUGAACUGACUUUCUGGCUAUCUACCUAGGUGUCUUAAGAAGACUGCAACCUAGACGGGAUCUUGCUAAGCUGGUCUGGAACUCCUGGAGUCAAGAAAUCCACCUGCCUCAGCCUCCCCUGCUGGGAUUACAGGCAUGAGCCCUCACCAUACCUGGCUUUGGCAGUUUCUUGGUACCUAAAGACUUUUUUAGGAAAUUGGUAACAGUAUCAGUCAAUGUGAUUUUUUGAUGUCAUAUAAUGAAAUGUGUCAACACUGAAGAUCUGUAUAACUCGAGGAAGCAAUAUUUCCCAAAUGGCAGUGAAUGAGAUUACAAAAUCAUGCAUGCAAAAAUGCAUUCAAAGUCGAAGAUAGAACAGCAGGUUUUAACAUAACAGUACCAAAAGUUCAUGGAUGUGGUUUCAGAUUCUCCAUUCCAGCUAACUUUUAAGAAACCAUAACUUGUGGAGUUUUGGAAUAAUAUCAAAGAAGAAUACCCACAAUGAUCUUAAAAGGCUAUUAAAAUACUCACUUCUUUUCCAACUACAUAUCUGUGUGAGGCCAGAUUUUCUUCAUAUGUUUCAACUAAAACAAGAUAUUGGAACAGAUUGAACACAGAAGCAGAUAUGAAAAUUUAGGUGUCUUUUAAGUCAGACAUUAAAGAGAUGUGC